rnacentral:rRNA from 1 species
CUACGGGACGCAGCAGUGGGGAAUAUUGCACAAUGGGCGCAAGCCUGACGCAGCAACGCCGCGUGAACGAUGAAGGCCCUUGGGUCGUAAAGUUCUGUCCUUGGGGAAGAAACAAAUGACGGUACCCAAGAAGAAAGCCCCGGCUAAUUACGUGCCAGCAGCCGCGGUAAUACGUAAGGGGCGAGCGUUAUCCGGAAUUAUUGGGCGUAAAGAGUAUGUAGGUGGUUUUUUAAGCGCGAGGUUUAAGGCAAUGGCUCAACCAUUGUUUGCCUUGCGAACUGGAAAACUUGAGUGCAGGAGAGGAAAGCGGAAUUCCUAGUGUAGCGGUGAAAUGCGUAGAUAUUAGGAGGAACACCAGUGGCGAAGGCGGCUUCCUGGACUGUAACUGACACUGAGAUACGAAAGCGUGGGGAGCAAACAGGAUUAGAUACCCUUGUAGUC